rnacentral:tRNA from 1 species
GCGGGAUUAGUUUAAUGGUAGAACUGCAGUUUUCCAAACUGUAGGCGGGAGUUCGAUUCUCCCAUCCCGCA